rnacentral:lncRNA from 1 species
AAAAAAAGGAAGAAAGGAAUGAAAAAAGGAAGAAGGGAAGAAAAAGAAGGAAGAAAAUUAAAAACAAAACAAAACAAAAACAAAAACUCUGGAGAUGUGGAGACUGGGUCCACUUCACCUGAAGGUGAGGAAAAUGCUGUAGCAGGCUGGCGCGCAAGGGCUGCUGGGGUCUGUAGUCCCGACUGCGCCUUAGGGGACGCGCCUGCGCACUGGUUGCGAGCUCGCUCUAGUCGCUGUAGUCGGGGCUCGGGACCGGCUGCCAUCGUAGUGGAGGGACUGAGGAGUCGUCGCCGCCCCGAGUCCCGCUGUUGUAGUGAACUUGGCUGAAGGGAGGAGUGUGGAGAAAAGAGUGAAGAGUUUUGGUUUUUUUCCCUUCAAAGUUACAGAACACAACCUAGCCACCCAUCAUUGUGCUCUUAAGUGUGCUGCUUCUCCUGGAUCGGUGAGAUCUUAUGAAAAUAGGUAAAGGCCAUGUGUGUUCACUCUCAGGGUUGGCAACUGGUUUGGUUCUCAUCUGAAAUAAAGUUUUUUUCUGGGGGGCGGUGGCAAAUUUGAUGAGAUUCAGCCUUGCAUAUCACAGGUUUACUUAAGGCUUAAUUUUUCCGGGUUUUAGAAAAGAUGCAAUUCUCCUUGAAUAGUUAGUGUACUUUGUGUGUGAGCUCAUGAAUUCAGACUUUAGAAUAGACCUCAACAAGGAUAUAAUGUGAAACCAAAAGCAUGUAUUCUAGAGUUGUUUUUAUUUUAUUUUGAGACAAGAUCUUGCUGUAUAGCUCUGGAAUACACUGUGUAAACUUAGACUGGCAUCCCACUUAAUUGUAUCUUCCUGUCUCUGCCUCCUGAGUGCUUCAGUUACAGGUACAUGCCAACACGAUAGGCACAGGAGAAAUUUUAGAUUUGUUGAUUUGUGUGUGUGAGCGCCAUGACUCGAGUUGGAGGUCAGAAGGUAACCCUCAAGAGUGUUUCCUCCUUUUACCCUGUGGCUUCCAGGGAUCAAACUCAGAUCAACAGGCUUGCAUAGCAAAUGCCUUUACUUAAUGAUCUAUUCUGCUGAACCAGAAUUUUUUUUGGGGGGCGGGGGUGGACAGAGUUUCUCUGUAUAGCCCUGGCUGUCCUGGAACUCACUCUGUAUGGAGACAGAGAUCCCUCCCAGGUGCUGGGAUUAAAGGCCUUCACUACCACUGCACAGUUCAGGAGAGAUUUUUUUGUUUUGUUUUGUUUUUUGUUUUUUGUUUUGUUUUGUUUUUGGAGACAAGGUUUCUCUGUGUAGCUUUGGAGCCUUUCCUGGCACUCGCUCUGGAGACCAGGCUGGCCUCGAACUCAGAGAUCUGCCUGCUUCUGCCUCCCAAGUGCUGGGAUUAAAGGCAAGCACCACCAAUGCCUGGCCCAGGAGAGAUUUUUAAAAGUAGAGUGUGCAGCUCAGUUGUUAGAGUGCUUGCUUACCAUAUACAAACCACAGAAUUUAAGUCUCAGUAAUUGGGAGGUGAGGC